rnacentral:rRNA from 1 species
UACAGACGGUCCAAACGUUAUUCGGAAUUACUGGGCUUAAAGAGUUCGUAGGCGGUCAAGAAAGUGGGGUGUGAAAUCCCCGGGCCUAACCUGGGAACUGCAUUUGUGACUGCAUAGCUAGAGUCUGUCAGAGGGGGGUGGAAUUCCACGUGUAGCAGUGAAAUGCGUAGAGAUGUGGAGGAACACCGAUGGCGAAGGCAGCCCCCUGGGAUAAGACUGACGCUCAUGUACGAAAGCGUGGGGAGCAAACAGG